rnacentral:rRNA from 1 species
AUUGAACGCUGGCGGCAGGCCUAACACAUGCAAGUCGAGCGAGCGGCGGACGCGUGAGUAAUGUCUGUGAAACUCCCUGAUGGAGGGGGAUAUCUAUUGUAAACGGUAUCUAAUAUCGCACACCAUCAGAUGUGCCCAGAUGGGAUUAGCUGGUAGGUGGGGUAACGGCUCACCUAGGCGACGAUCCCUAGCUGGUCUGAGAGGAUGACCAGCCACACUGGAACUGAGACACGGUCCAGACUCCUACGGGAGGCAGCAGUGGGGAAUAUUGCACAAUGGGCGCAAGCCUGAUGCAGCCAUGCCGCGUGUGUGAAGAAGGCCUUCGGGUUGUAAAGCACUUUCAGCGGGGAGGCGUUACCCGCAGAAGAAGCACCGGCUAACUCCGUGCCAGCAGCCGCGGUAAUUC